AACACAAGUAUAUGAUAUACCUGAUAGAUAAUGAUAUUGUAU
rnacentral:guide_RNA from 1 species